CCCUUAGAUGUCCUGGGCCGCACGCGCGCUACACUGAGUGUCUGAGAUACGCGUCUGCCUGGUCCGGCAAGGUCUAGGUAAUCGCUAAAAGACACAUCCUGCUUGGGAUAGAUUAUUGCAAAUAUUAAUCUUGAACGAGGAAUUCCUAGUAAGCGCAAGUCAACAGCUUGCGUUGAUUACGUCCCUGCCCUUUGUACACACCGCCCGUCGCUACUACUGAUUGGAUGUUUAAGCGAGGUUCUCGAACUGCUAGCGACUUAGCUUCGGUGAGGUCGCAGUGUGGGAAGUGAACCUAGCUUUGGUGUCUAGAGGAAGUAAAAGUCGUAACA
rnacentral:rRNA from 1 species